rnacentral:rRNA from 1 species
GAUGAACGCUGGCGGCGUGCCUAAUACAUGCAAGUCGAGCGAACAGAUGAGGAGCUUGCUCCUCUGACGUUAGCGGCGGACGGGUGAGUAACACGUGGAUAACCUACCUAUAAGACUGGGAUAACUUCGGGAAACCGGAGCUAAUACCGGAUAAUAUAUUGAACCGCAUGGUUCAAUAGUGAAAGACGGUUUUGCUGUCACUUAUAGAUGGAUCCGCGCCGCAUUAGCUAGUUGGUAAGGUAACGGCUUACCAAGGCAACGAUGCGUAGCCGACCUGAGAGGGUGAUCUGCCACACUGGAACUGAUACACGGUCCAGACUCCUACGGGAGGCAGCAGUAGGGAAUCUUCCGCAAUGGGCGAAAGCCUGACGGAGCAACGCCGCGUGAGUGAUGAAGGUCUUCGGAUCGUAAAACUCUGUUAUUAGGGAAGAACAAAUGUGUAAGUAACUAUGCACGUCUUGACGGUACCUAAUCAGAAAGCCACGGCUAACUACGUG